GCCCGCAUGGCUCAGGGGUAGAGCGUAUCACUAGUAGAGACUUGUAACACUACUUCAUGAUAAGGUCCUCAGUUCAAAUCUAAGUGUGGGCA